UACGUAGGGGGCAAGCGUUGUCCGGAAUCAUUGGGCGUAAAGAGCGUGUAGGCGGCUCGAUAAGUCUGCUGUGAAAGUCCAGGGCUCAACCCUGGAAGGCCGGUGGAAACUGUCGGGCUAGAAUCCGGAAGAGGCGAGUGGAAUUCCCGGUGUAGCGGUGAAAUGCGCAGAUAUCGGGAGGAACACCAAUGGCGAAGGCAGCUCGCUGGGACGGUACUGACGCUGAGACGCGAAAGCGUGGGGAGCGAACAGG
rnacentral:rRNA from 1 species